UGACGUUGACGUGACGUUCCAGCCAUGGU
rnacentral:piRNA from 1 species